GGUGGGUUACUUUCUCCCUUAGGAAGUUCACGACCAAGGUGGAUCUCCACUGUGCAACAGAGUUCCUAAUAACGUAAACCACCAGCUGACCAGAUUGGCUAAGUGGUGUCCUGUCCCUACCUGGCUUGAUUACCAAACUAGCUGGAUGUUUAGGAGGGAGGUAUAUGUGUUUCUUUCCAGAAAACUCCUAUGCAGAGCACAGCCAGAUUGGCCUCAAAAGUGAGCUGACAAGCCAGAAACACUGGGUUUAUUAUACUUCGGAGUUGUUCCUUAAAUGAUAACCAUGACUAACAGGCAUCAGUUGGCUUUUUCUGGUUUACCUGAAAAGCAAAUGGUAUAUUAAGCUUAACUUUGUUGUAUUUUUCUUCUUACGCUAGAGAUUUAAGCUCCUUCAUUUCUGGUCUAUUAUUUUUUAAAUACCAAUCAAUCUAUCUGUUUUUGCUUGAAACUUGAUUUCUUCAAGUACACUCAUUCAGCAGGUAUAUAUUGUGUGUCUUCAUAUGAGUGAGCGAGUCUAGGUGUGUGGGUGUAAGAGAGACAGAAGGAGGGGGGCGGUGGGGAGUAUGCAAGGGAGAGAGAGGAUGAGCACAGCUUCCUUUCAGGAGCCCUGUAUCCAGAAAUGAAAACCAUGAAUGGGCUCUAGUGCAUGAAACUGAGGUUCAAUCGGAUUAGGAAAAGAUACUCUAAAAACACUGAAAGGCUCUGUCGCCAGGCACACUGCUGGCUGGAGAAUGUGGAACAAAGAUAAAAUUGUCAGAACAUCCUGUCUCCACCUACACCAGGAAGGUCAAGUCUAAGAUGUUUGUCCAAGGGCUCAGGCAAUCAGAAGAUUGGAAGCAACAUAUUAAUAAGAGAACAUGCCCCGAAGCUCUGGCCCAUGAAAAAAGCUCCUGAAUCACAAUGUAGCCACAACCUGAAGUUCACCAUGGACAGAAAGAACCAGCUAUGCCUGCCACCUGAAAAAGAUGGAUGCUUCUUGAGAGCUAAGUGACCAAAGUGACCAGCAGAAUGUCUCGCCCUGAAGAAAAAGGUUCUUUUAGAGGCCUGCCAGAAAGGAGGUAGUGAUAUUGACAUGCACUGCACAGAAUCUUUUCCUGUGUAAUUCAUAACCUGAUCAAGUUGGACAUGGAAACCUUUUCAGCAUGGCUGUGUUAAUGUUUAAGGAGAUCCUUCUUGGCAUCUGAAUCUUUCUUAAAGUGUUGCAACCUGUUGGACUCUCCUUAGCAAAGUUAAAAUAGGGAAAUUUGUUUUUGACUUCUGUUUUUCAUUUCAUUCUCAGAGCAUAGUCCAUAGCACAGGUGAUUGAUUCAAAAUGGAUUUGAGGGUGACAAAGUAACCACUACAGGUGGGAUGCAGGAGAAGACAGUGAAGACGACGGAGGAGAAGAAAUGAUAUGGGGCAGACAAGAGGGCACUGGAAGAUUAACAGAUACUACUGAUGCUCUUACAAAAUCGUUCUGGGAAAAAAGUUAGAAAAUGUCUCCGUGCAUACAGUGUAAUACAGAUUAAGUAAUUUAUGAUCUGAAUGUCUGCAGAGAAGGAUGACUUUUUUUAUUUUUCUGAUAAGAAUUAUAUAGGUGUAUGCAAAUGAAUACAGGUAAAACUGUAAAAAUAUACACACAUUCAUGGAUAUGCCAUUGUGUGUGCAUCUGGGUGCACAAACAUGCAUAUGUGCACCUUAAAUAAAUGAAUCCAUGUGCAAAAGAA